GCUGGACAUGCCCUCAGAGCUCAUCCUGGAGAAUCUACACACCAUAAUGGCCGACGUUUACUCCCACAGACAGAGCACCGCAGAUUUAGGUCCGUUCAUCGAGAGAGCCAUCAUCUCCAGUCAAACCAGUGAAGGUCUGUGGGUCCAUCCUGAAGACCUGGUGCCUAAAACGGAGACGGACGAAGAGGAGGAAGUUUAAACGAGAAUUCUAAAUGUAAUAAAAUAAACUGUGUCAUUUGUAAAACAAA